rnacentral:rRNA from 1 species
AGUGAACGCUGGCGGUAGGCCUAAUACAUGCAAGUCGAACGGCAGCACAGUAAGAGCUUGCUCUUACGGGUGGCGACUGGCGGACGGGUAAGGAAUACAUAGGAAUCUACUUUUUCUUGGGGGAUAACGUAGGGAAACUUACGCUAAUACCGCAUACUACCUACGGGUGAAAUCAGAGGAUCUUCGGACCUUGCGCGAUUGAAUGAGCCGAUGUCGGAUUAGCUAGUUGGCGGGGUAAAGGCCCACCAAGGCGACGAUCCGUAGCUGGUCUGAGAGGAUGAUCAGCCACACUGGAACUGAGACACGGUCCAGACUCCUACGGGAGGCAGCAGUGGGGAAUAUUGGACAAUGGGCGCAAGCCUGAUCCAGCCAUACCGCGUGGGUGAAGAAGGACUUCGGGUUGUAAAGCCCUUUUGUUGGGAAAGAAAAGCAGCAGGUUAAUACCCCGCUGUUCUGACGGUACCCAAAGAAUAAGCACCGGCUAACUUCGUG